GUUCAAGAACCAGGAGAUCAAGUGGGAGGUGUUGCGUCAAAAGACAGUCUGAGGACAGAGCCCAGUUUGAGAUCCUCAAGUCCCAGAUGUACGCCGAGUGAGCAGCCAAGAGGGACCGCACACCUAAACGAGCCAGGGCCAUGCCAGAGGAUGAGCCUGUCCAGAAAGGCCCAUCCCUCCCCCGUGUCAUCGAUGGCCAGCCAGCGUAUACGGUGAGACGCCUCCUGAGGGUUCGACCACGGGGCAGGGGUUUCCAGUACCUGGUUGACUGGGAGGGUUGCUGUCACUUCCUGAUCUGUUUCACCUGUCCUUGUGAUUGUCUCUACCCCCUCUAGGUGUCGCUUAUUUUCCCUGGUGUAUGUAUCCCUGUGUUUCCUGUCUCUCUGUGCCAGUUCGUCUUGUCAAGUCAACCAGUGUUUUGACCAUUGCCUGCCCUGACUCUGUACCCGUAUGCUUGACUAUUCUGCCUGCCCUGACCUCGAGCCUGCCUGCCUGCCUGGACUAUGACCUUGUUAUGAACUUUUUACCUGUACACGACCAUUAUCUUGCCUGCCCCUUGGAUCC
rnacentral:lncRNA from 1 species